rnacentral:lncRNA from 1 species
CUACAAGAUAUUAUUGAGGAAGCUAAGUUAUAUUGCAGAUACGUAGAUGACAUCUUCGUCAUGUUGGAGAACUAAUGAUAAAGUUGACCAAUUAAAAUGUGAAUUCACACUACCGGCUUAUGGCUUGAAUCUGCAAAUUGACCAAGUGAGCAAACCUAGAGUCCAUUUCCUAGACAUAGAUAUAACCAUAAAAGAAAAUUCCCUGGAAACUAAGGUCUAUAGAAAACCAUCAGGUGCUACUGUAUUAAUCCCUAACUGGUCCAAUGACUGAUGGAUUCAUAAGAAAGCUGCCUUAAGAUCCCUACUACUAAGAGCUAAAAUACACUGUACUACAGACCAAGCCACACGAGAAGAAAUCCAGAUUAUUACAGAGAUAGCCUAUAAACAUGGAUACAACUCAUUCCUUAUUAAAAAA